rnacentral:rRNA from 1 species
CCGGCACGGGUGAGUAACACGUAUCCAACCUGCCGUCUACUCUUGGACAGCCUUCUGAAAGGAAGAUUAAUACAAGAUGGCAUCAUGAGUCCGCAUGUUCACAUGAUUAAAGGUGUUCCGGUAGACGAUGGGGAUGCGUUCCAUUAGAUAGUAGGCGGGGUAACGGCCCACCUAGUCUUCGAUGGAUAGGGGUUCUGAGAGGAAGGCCCCCACAUUGGAACUGAGACACGGUCCAA